AAUAAAGUUCUAAAGAUUUACGAUUAACGUAGUCUAUAAAAUAAAAAUUGAACGAAGAUAAAUUCUCAAGAGAAUAUUAUGUUUUGAAUAAUGAAUCAAUGGAGCAUUGUUUGAAUCGCACGAUCGAGCCGGAAACGAGUAAAGAGAAUACCAACAAAAUUCAACAGAAUAAUGUUCGAUGUCGUGUGACAGGCGGGUCGUGGCCGGAAAAGCGCGAAAAUAGGAAGAGGAAGCGAGCGAAGAAAGAAAGAAAAGAGAGGCGGAGACGUGGAAGUGGCGCGUGGCACUACCGAAUAAGUAUCGAAUGCCGCCAGAUGUUGCGGUGAAGCCAGCUGCUGCACCUCCGCCACUCUGCCCUCUUUUGCUUUUCCUCGCGGUUUUUCGAGAGAGUCGAGCAGAGAACUGGCGUGAAAACCGAAAAGGGACAAGAAGGAAAAGAAAAAGGAGAGCCCUUCGAGCGAGGAGAACAAGAUGGGAAGGAAGUGGCGGAGGGGGUCGAAAGCGAAUAUCCUUCCUGCCGGGGCAACAAACAGGCAGCUGCUCGGAUUUGAGCACGUGCUACUACCACCGUGCGCUGCCACGAUGAGCCUCGUCUUAGAUAGCCGAGGUUGGUAGGUUGCUGGGUAAAGAUAGGUAAGUGUUAUACACCAGCCUAUAUGACUGAAUAUGAUCCAGGUACCCAGCGGGACUGACGAGUAUUUUCGUGCGUGUUCCGGUGAUCUUUGCACGUGCUGCAUUUUAUUCCUUUUCCUAUUUAAAUUCACCUCGAACCUUCCUGAUCUCUUAUUCAUCCAGCAACAAUUGAGCUACCGUUGAAAAUGGCUCUCCUUUCUAUUCUGAAGAAAGAAGUGACUUGAUGAUUUGAUAUGACUAUGUUUUGCACGGAAAAUGAUCGACGAAGGUUGAUCGGUAGGAUGAUCGGAAGAUAUUAUGCACCAACUCUCUAAAUAGAAGGUAUACUAUAUGAGCACCAGAUAUCUCCAAGAAGGGUACGAUCGUGCAUGCAUGCGUAUCUCCCUUCAUGGCAUCAACUAUACGUAAGUUUUCCUUCGGGCUAUUAAUUCUCUUUCAAGGUGGUCUCUGAUUUUGCAAUUUUACACCAGUUGAGUUUUAUGGGUUUUUCCUUUAGUGACGUGAGAUAUUAACAGAUAUUUUCUUAAUAAUCUAUUUAUUAAUCCAGGCAAUGAAAUGAUGAAAAAUUCUAACCUCAAAUUUUAUCGAUUAAAAUUUAUGUUAUUAAUUUUGAUUUUUUUUUUUUAAAGACUAAGGAAAUGAUCGAGCUAUUGAUUUUUAAACGAUUAUAUGUCUAAUAGAAAGUUAAAUUGAUUUUCUGUUGACUGGAUAAUUAAAUUUUCAGCGAAUCGAAUAUCUUCUUAUCUGAUCAUAUAUCCGUAGACCUGGCGUUAUUAAUUUAGUAGAAAUCUGCAGGUGCUUCUACAGAAAUUUCGUUAAUCGAUCCUACAUUCAUGUCGACCAUGCAUCCAUAAUCAAACCCGCAUUCAAAGAUCCUUCAAAGAAAUUUUAUCCGUUUAAUUGCAAAUGAAAAAUACAUAUUUUAUUUUUCUUAUUUUUGAAUUUUUAUAUUAAUUAUAAAAUCUGAUAUUCGUUGUAUAUGCUGAAAGAUCAAUUGAUUUCAAUUCAAAAAAAAAAAAAAAAAAAAAUUACCUGAAUAAAGGGAAUCAAAUAAUUUUAUCCACAGGAAUAUUUAUGAAAAGGAUCAAUAGAAGAUUGUCUUAUAUCAUUUAGCUAUAUUCAAAAACGCAUGACACAUUAGUUACAAUAUUACAAAUGAUAUUUAUUGGCCUGGUCCUCCAUGGUACCUGAUAAUCAUGCGACACCUGUUACGACACAACACUUACUUAAUUGGAGGCUACGAACAGCUGCCCACACGACGAACCAAUCACGGCGGUUCGCCUGAAAUUCUUCUUUACCCGCGACAUCCCUGACGAGCACCUGUUCCAAUUCGGAAUAUAUACCGAACAAGGAUCCUUGACCAGGAUUUCUCACGAAAGGAAAGUCCGUAUUGAUUGUUGGAUUCCGAUUUAUUCGAUCGACAGCCCGUGAUUUCGUUUCGAUGAUGAUGAUGAUGCAAUUAAUUAGCCAAUUAAUUAAAACAUGCGGCUACGAAAUUGGAAUAUCAAUCAAAUCCAAAUUUAAAUUAGAAAUAUUUAAUAUUUCGCAAUAUGUUUCUUUUUUCAAAUUAAAAUUAAAAAUAAAUUUCAGUUAAAAUUCAGACUACUAAUUAGUGAGAAUAGAAAACACUUUUGUAUAAUUAUUUUGAACAUAUUUCAAUUUUUAUGUUACAUAUAUACUUUUUUUUAUCAUUUUAGAGUACGCUGUGUGAUUUUUUUUACAAACAAGCGAUUGCAUUUAUUACUCAACUGUCAUAGCGAAGCUGGAAAUUUGUCCAUCGCAUAAAAGCAUAUCAUGCUCAAAUAUUCGAGGAGGCUGCAGUUAGUUCUUAAGUCCUUUGCUACUUUACAACGACACUGCGUAACGAUGCUGGACGGACGGCGGGCACAGCUGUCAACCCGUGUCCACAAGAGGACCAUGCUUGAAUUUCUAUAUCGUCCACGAUAUCAUACUCAAAUAUGUAUUCGGUAUAUAUACAACUAUGGCGAAAUUCCUUGAUGUUACCUCACCAUGCUUAAUGACACGUAAGAGGUCUGCGUAUUACACCUGUCAGGCCACCUUUGCCAAAAAUUACUCAAAUUCUGUCUCUUAAGAUGGGACAUGGAUGAUCAACCAGCUGGUGUUAUAGCUUUUCACGAUUUCGCAAUGUUUGAUCAACGAAAAUUCAAGAAAAUUGUUCUGCUUGGGAUUAAUUGUCAAACUUGAGAAUCUCGACAAUUAAAAUUAAGGGAAGUAUUAGUGAUUAAAUAAUUUAAAAUUUCUUCAAU